rnacentral:misc_RNA from 1 species
UUGAUUCAAGGAGCAGCAACACUCGUAUCAACAACCUGUCCUUAGAUACCCAAAAUAAGUAUAUUGAAGGGACUAAAUUUAGAUAUAACAUCAAGAAACUUGUAUAUAGUGCGUCCUCCGAUCUGAUAUUUAAUCUUCACAUUUGUAUCAACAAAAAACAUCUACGAUCAAAUAUCGGCAAGAAUCCUCCCAUUGUAAAUAAAUGAUCUCAACUUAGACUUCCCAGCAGAAAAAUUUCAUCUCAACUUUAUUGCCCAGCAGAGUCAAAAAUGCUGUAUUACUAAAGUCCAAGCCGGCACAUUGGGUUUCUUUUGAUGAGACCUAGAUCCACCUUGGGACCAAAAAGAUCUCUGAUGUUGUCAAUUCCGUAGAGAAUCAUGGUGGGCCUCUCAAGGGAAAGGCCCCAGGCAAUAACCCGAACAUCUUCUGGCAGACCCAUAGGAAGAAGCAUUUCAGGCCUAAACAUACCAGAAUUUCCAACUUCUACCCAUUUCUUAAAGCCUUCAUGGUAGCUGAAAAUUUCCAUGCUGGGCUCAGUAUAAGGGUUAUAAGCAGGUUUGAACCGAAGCUUGGACAUUCCUAGACGAGAAAAGAAGUCAUGAAGAACACCAAUCAGGUCACCAAGAGUGAGUCCACGAUCACAUAUUAAACCUUCUAUCUGAUGAAAUUCAGCAAGAUGUGUUCGAUCAACUGCUUCAUUUCUGAAAACACGA